UAUAUUUUUGCGAUCAGGUUAAAUCUGAUUUGGAUAUAUACUUUUAUCUCGAGAAUCGUCCGGCGGUCUCGAGCUAUGGAUUAAAAUCUCAAAAUCUAACUCGAUCUCACACUCUCACUUCAUUUGGCCGCCUUUUUCUUUCUCUAUAGCUUAUGAGUCUACAACUAAGGAAAGAUGGAAAUCAUGGUGGUAUGAACUGAGGCAAGUAUAAGAACAUGAUACUCAUGUUUGGAGCUCGCGUUUUGAUUUAUUUUUACUGGUUGUUCGUAUUUAGCUUUAGGUUUAGGUAUAUCACUGGUUGUUGUUCAAUGUUCGGCGGCAGUUGAUGAUGAAGAUGGGAAGUUCAACGAUGUUAGCAAACUCAAAUAGAUGUUGACGGUGGUAAAAAUGGACCAAGAUGUAGUUGUUGUUGCUGUGGUGGUUUCGAAGAUGUUCAUAGAAGUGGUGAUGGAACAAAUGGCUGUGGUGGUUUUGAGGAUGCUGUUGUUGGUGAUUUUGAAGAUGUUGAUGGAGGUGGAAAUGGACCAAACUGCUGCGAUGGUUUUGUAGAUGCUGAUGGGAGGUGGAAAUAAUGGACCAAAUGGUUGCUGCUGUUGCACUGGGACAUGGCGUUCAGAACACGACCCGGUGGGAUCCUUAAGGUUCACCAUUCCAGAUCCAAGGUCUAGGUGCAGUUGGUGCCAUACCUGAUUAACUGUGGUUAGCUACUCUAGUUACAAGGGAAAGGUAUAUAAGUAAAAAUUUGGGACUGUUUUUUCAUAUCUGUUAGAUCGGAUGGAAGAUGACUAUUUUUUAUUUGUAAUUGGAAAGUAUGACCAUUUUGUAACCCAAUUAUAAAAAGUAUCACCAUUUUGUAA